rnacentral:rRNA from 1 species
GACGUAGGGCGCAAGCGUUGUCCGGAUUUAUUGGGCGUAAAGAGCUCGUAGGCGGCUCGUUGCGUCGGCUGUGAAAACCCGCAGCUCAACUGUGGGCUUGCAGCCGAUACGGGCGGGCUGGAGUUCGGUAGGGGAGACUGGAAUUCCUGGUGUAGCGGUGAAAUGCGCAGAUAUCAGGAAGAACACCCGUGGCUAAGGCGGCUCUCUAGUACGGUACUGACGCUGAGACGCGAAAGCGUGGGGAGCGAACAGG